ensembl:miRNA
UUGCUGCUAACGAAUGCUCUGACUUUAUUGCACUACUGUACUUCACAGCUAGCAGUGCAAUAGUAUUGUCAAAGCAUCUGAAAGCAGAG